AGAUUUGCUAUGGGGAUCACGAAGGUGGUUUUCCCAGGGUGAGGCUUAUUCAUUGCACUCUGGAUGUGCUGACCCCUGUGACUUCCCCAAAUGUGGGAAACUCGACUGCAUAAUUUGUGGUAGUGGGGGACAAAAAAAAAAAUGAUUUGCUAUGGGAUUUUUU